AGUGAACGCUGGCGGUAGGCCUAACACAUGCAAGUCGAACGGCGGCACAGUAAGAGCUUGCCCUUACGGGUGGCGAGUGGCGGACGGGUGAGGAAUGCAUCGGAAUCUACUUUUUCGUGGGGGAUAACGUAGGGAAACUUACGCUAAUACCGCAUACGACCUACGGGUGAAAGCAGGGGAUCUUCGGACCUUGCGCGAUUGAAUGAGCCGAUGUCGGAUUAGCUAGUUGGCGGGGUAAAGGCCCACCAAGGCGACGAUCCGUAGCUGGUCUGAGAGGAUGAUCAGCCACACUGGAACUGAGACACGGUCCAGACUCCUACGGGAGGCAGCAGUGGGGAACAUUGGACAAUGGGCGCAAGCCUGAUCCAGCCAUACCGCGUGGGUGAAGAAGGCCUUCGGGUUGUAAAGCCCUUUUGUUGGGAAAGAAAAGCAGCAGGUUAAUACCCCGCUGUUCUGACGGUACCCAAAGAAUAAGCACCGGCUAACUUCGUG
rnacentral:rRNA from 1 species